rnacentral:rRNA from 1 species
GACGAACGCUGGCGGCGUGCUUAACACAUGCAAGUCGAACGGAAAGGCCCCUUUGGGGGUACUCGAGUGGCGAACGGGUGAGUAACACGUGAGUAACCUGCCCUUGACUUCGGGAUAACUUCAGGAAACUGGGGCUAAUACCGGAUAGGAAUCCUUGCUGCAUGGUGGGGGUUGGAAAGCUUCGGCGGUUUUGGAUGGACUCGCGGCUUAUCAGCUUGUUGGUGGGGUAGUGGCUUACCAAGGCUUUGACGGGUAGCCGGCCUGAGAGUGCGACCGGCCACAUUGGGACUGAGAUACGGCCCAGACUCCUACGGGAGGCAGCAGUGGGGAAUAUUGCACAAUGGGCGGAAGCCUGAUGCAGCAACGCCGCGUGCGGGAUGACGGCCUUCGGGUUGUAAACCGCUUUCAGCAGGGGCGAAGCUUGUGGUGACGGUACCUGCAGAAGAAGCACCGGCUGACUACGU